UGCACGUAUCAAGGCUGUGUUUUGGGAGAUGGAGAUAUUCAUUGUGACAGAGUGUACCAUGUGUUUGACGCCCUCCCACCUUGGCUAAUCCUGCCCCAAGCAGGUUUCCUUCUGGUGGAAAAGAGCAGUGAGUUUAGAUACUCCACUGGCUGCCAAGAGAGUCCACCACGUUCAGCAGCUGGCAGAACCAACAAGAAUUGAUCCUCAAGCAGCUAUAAGGAUCAGGAGGAGAAAGUCAAACAGGGCACAACAAACAAGAUAUAGUAUAUUUCAUUCUGAAGGAUCCCAAAGCACUUCACAUAGUAAGUCCUUACACCAGCUCUGAACUGAAGUCAUCACUGGGAUGGAUGGUGUUAGCCAACUAAUACAGAGCAAUAUGAUAUAACACGAACCAUAACAUAACUUUGCAGUGCCCUCUACUGUGCAUCUCAGCAACUCCUUCUGAUACCAAGAACCAGAGAGAAACAUGUCCACGAAAACAAAGGAAGCCACCGCAGGUCAGAAGCAAGCAGCAAAUUUGAAAAUGCUGUGGAAAUAAAUAAAUACACAAAUUUGUGCACCUGCAAUCAG